UAGCUAAGGACCAUGCAAAGCGUGUUGGAGA
rnacentral:piRNA from 1 species